rnacentral:rRNA from 1 species
UUCCGGUUGAUCCCGCCGGAGGCCAUUGCUAUCGGAAUCCGAUUUAGCCAUGCUAGUCGCACGGGUUUAGACCCGUGGCGAACAGCUCAGUAACACGUGGCCAAACUGCCCUGUGGACGGGGAUAAUCUCGGGAAACUGAGGAUAAUCCCCGAUAGGGCUUCCGUCCUGGAGUGGAGGAAGUCCGAAAGUUGCGCUGCGGCACCACAGAAUGUGGCUGCGGCCGAUUAGGUAGACGGUGGGGUAACGGCCCACCGUGCCAGUAAUCGGUACGGGUGAUGAGAGUCAGAGCCCGGAGACGGUAUCUGAGACAAGAUACCGGGCCCUACGGGGCGCAGCAGGCGCGAAACCUUUACACUGCACGACAGUGCGAUAGGGGGAUUCCGAGUGCGAGGGCAUACAGUCCUCGCUUUUCUGGACCGUAAGGAGGUCCAAGAAUAAGGGCUGGGCAAGACCGGUGCCAGCCGCCGCGGUAAUACCGGCGGCCCGAGUGAUGGCCGAUAUUAUUGGGCCUAAAGCGUCCGUAGCUGGCCGGGGAAGUCCGUCGGGAAAUCCACUCGCUCAACGAGUGGGCGUCCGGCGGAAACUCUCCGGCUUGGGACCGGAAGACCGAAGGGGUACGUCCGGGGUAGGAGUGAAAUCCUGUAAUCCUGGACGGACCACCGGUGGCGAAAGCGCCUUCGGAAGACGGAUCCGACAGUGAGGGACGAAAGCUAGGGUCUCGAACCGGAUUAGAUACCCGGGUAGUCCUAGCCGUAAACGAUGUUCGCUAGGUGUGGCACUGGCUACGAGCCAGUGCUGCGCCGUAGGGAAGCCGAGAAGCGAACCGCCUGGGAAGUACGUCUGCAAGGAUGAAACUUAAAGGAAUUGGCGGGGGAGCACUACAACCGGAGGAGCCUGCGGUUUAAUUGGACUCAACGCCGGACAUCUCACCAGCCCCGACUACGGUAAUGACGGUCAGGUUGAUGACCUCAUCACGAGCCGUAGAGAGGAGGUGCAUGGCCGCCGUCAGCUCGUACCGUGAGGCGUCCUGUUAAGUCAGGCAACGAGCGAGACCCGCACUCCUAAUUGCCAGCAGCAGUCUCGACUGGCUGGGUACAUUAGGAGGACUGCCAGUGCUAAACUGGAGGAAGGAACGGGCAACGGUAGGUCAGUAUGCCCCGAAUGGGCUGGGCUACACGCGGGCUACAAUGGCCGGGACAAUGGGUCGCCACCUCGAAAGAGGGCGCUAAUCUCAGAAACCCGGUCGUAGUUCGGACUGAGGGCUGAAACUCGCCCUCACGAAGCUGGAUUCGGUAGUAAUCGCCGUUCACCAGACGGCGGUGAAUACGUCCCUGCUCCUUGCACACACCGCCCGUCAAG